rnacentral:rRNA from 1 species
AGAGUUUGAUCCUGGCUCAGGAUGAACGCUAGCGGCAGGCCUAAUACAUGCAAGUCGAGGGGUAAGGCUCACUUCGGUGAGUACACGACCGGCGCACGGGUGCGUAACGCGUAUGCAACCUACCUCUAACAGGGGGAUAGCCCCGAGAAAUCGGGAUUAAUACCUCAUAACAAUAUUUUGUCGCAUGGCAAGAUAUUUAAAGCUCCGGCGGUUAGAGAUGGGCAUGCGUGACAUUAGCUAGUUGGUGAGGUAACGGCUCACCAAGGCGACGAUGUCUAGGGGUUCUGAGAGGAUGAUCCCCCACACUGGUACUGAGACACGGACCAGACUCCUACGGGAGGCAGCAGUAAGGAAUAUUGCGCAAUGGAGGCAACUCUGACGCAGCCAUGCCGCGUGCAGGAAGACGGCCUUAUGGGUUGUAAACUGCUUUUAUAAAGGAAUAAACCCCCGAACGAGUUCGGGGUUGAAGGUACUUUAUGAAUAAGCACCGGCUAACUCCGUGCCAGCAGCCGCGGUAAUACGGAGGGUGCAAGCGUUAUCCGGAUUCAUUGGGUUUAAAGGGUGCGCAGGCGGAUGAUUAAGUCAGUGGUGAAAUCCCGGGGCUCAACCUCGGAACUGCCAUUGAUACUGGUCAUCUUGAAUUCGGUUGAAGUGGGCGGAAUGUAGCAUGUAGCGGUGAAAUGCAU